rnacentral:rRNA from 1 species
AUUGAACGCUGGCGGCAGGCUUAACACAUGCAAGUCGAGCGGGGAAGGUUGCUUCGGUAACUGACCUAGCGGCGGACGGGUGAGUAAUGCUUAGGAAUCUGCCUAUUAGUGGGGGACAACAUUCCGAAAGGGAUGCUAAUACCGCAUACGUCCUACGGGAGAAAGCAGGGGAUCAUUGGACCUUGCGCUAAUAGAUGAGCCUAAGUCGGAUUAGCUAGUUGGUAGGGUAAAGGCCUACCAAGGCGACGAUCUGUAGCGGGUCUGAGAGGAUGAUCCGCCACACUGGGACUGAGACACGGCCCAGACUCCUACGGGAGGCAGCAGUGGGGAAUAUUGGACAAUGGGGGGAACCCUGAUCCAGCCAUGCCGCGUGUGUGAAGAAGGCCUUUUGGUUGUAAAGCACUUUAAGCGAGGAGGAGGCUCGCUUGGUUAAUACCUGAGAAGAGUGGACGUUACUCGCAGAAUAAGCACCGGCUAACUUUGUGCCAGCAGCCGCCGUAA